UACGGGGGGUGCGAGCGUUGUCCGGAAUCACUGGGCGUAAAGGGCGCGUAGGUGGUUUGAUAAGGGUGUGGUGAAAGUCCGGGGCUCAACCCCGGAUCUGCCGUGCCGACUGUCAAACUCGAGGGCUGUAGAGGCAGGCGGAAUUCCGGGUGUAGCGGUGGAAUGCGUAGAGAUCCCCAAGAACACCAGUUGCGAAGGCGGCUGACUGGACACAUAUUGACGCUGAGGCUCGAAAGCAUGGGGAGCAAACAGG
rnacentral:rRNA from 1 species